CUGAGCGCCUAGCACUCUGCUUGCUUAUCUCUCGUAAGAACCAGUGUGGUUAGAAUUCUCUCUCUGCUUUGGCAGUGACGUUUCGGAGGCAGACACAUUAUGAGGUAACUCGCCCGAGGUCAAACAGGGAGGCAAGACUUCUACUUGGGCCUUCCUGAUGCCAGGGUCUCUGUCCUUUAACUGUGAUCCAGCGCCGCUCUUGUCAAGUACCAAGGACAAUGAUACUCCAGUGGUUCACAGAUUAAUCUGUUUCCCCUCCAGGACACCGGGUGCUAGGAAGUCAGAGUCCAGCCUCACACAGCUCCUUAGCCUCUCCUCCCCAGGGCAAGAGCUAAGCACGAGUGACUACAUGCCACUUUCUGUGCUCGUCCAAGUCCCGAGAGGUCCUGUCUUCUCACAUGGGUGGCCCGGGGUCCCCAGCCCUCCCACCCAAGAGCACCUAGCACCAGCAGUUGUGUGGUAUGGGUGACGCUGCCCUCGGUGCUGGAGGCUCGGCAGGUGUAGUCUCCGGCGCUGCCUCGCUCCACCCGGCGGAUCCAGAGCGUCCCGUUCUGCACCUAAGACUAAGGGAGGCGUCUCCAGGAGCUGAGGGGGCGCUGUGAGGGGAAAAGAGGCCUCAGGGGCUGCCAGAAAGGCUAUCAGCCCACAAAGCAGUGUUCAAGAGCCAGGGAGACCUCAUCUCCGAGCUGCUGCCCGCCCAGGUAUAUGGGAAUACUAGCCCAGGGUCACCUGCCUGCUGUACACGGGACCAUCCCAACACUGGCUGCAUGUCCAGAGCAAGCGCCCAGGGAAAUCUGGGAAUCAGGAGGUGUGGAUCUUAGACUCAUCUCCGCCACCCAUUGGUGGCACAAAUGCCUCUCUACCUGAUCCGCCUCAAUCUCACCUAUGAAGUGGGGAAUGGUUACAA